rnacentral:rRNA from 1 species
AACGAACGCUGGCGGCAUGCCUAACACAUGCAAGUCGAACGAGACCUUCGGGUCUAGUGGCGCACGGGUGCGUAACGCGUGGGAACCUGCCCUUAGGUUCGGCAUAACUCCCCGAAAGGGGUGCUAAUACCGGAUAAUGUCCUCGUACCAAAGAUUUAUCGCCUUUGGAUGGGCCCGCGUUGGAUUAGCUAGGUGUUAGGGUAAAAGCCUACCAAGGCGAGGAUCCAUAGCUGGUCGGAGAGGAUGAUCAGCGACACUGGGACUGAGACACGGCCCAGACUCGUACGAGAGGCAGCAGAGGGGGAUAUUGGACAAGGGGCGAGAGGCUGAUCCAGCAAUGACGCGUGAGUGAUGAAGGCCUUAGGGUUGGAAAGCUCUUUUAGCCGGGAUGAUAAUGACAGUACCGGGAGAAUAAGCUCCGGCUAACUCCGUG